rnacentral:rRNA from 1 species
UACGUAGGUGGCGAGCGUUGUUCGGAUUUAUUGGGCGUAAAGGGUCCGCAGGGGGCCUGUUAAGUCUGAUGUGAAAUCCCGAAGCUCAACUUCGGAAUUGCAUUGGAAACUGGCGGGCUAGAGCAUCGGAGAGGAGAUUGGAAUUCCAGGUGUAGCGGUGGAAUGCGUAGAUAUCUGGAAGAACACCGAAGGCGAAGGCAGAUCUCUGGACGAUUGCUGACCCUCAGGGACGAAAGCGUGGGUAUCAAACAGGAUUAGAUACCCUGGUAGUCCACGCUGUAAACGUUGUGAACUUGACGUGGGGGGUUUCCUCCGUGUCGGAGCUAACGCGAUAAGUUCACCGCCUGGGAACUACGGCCGCAAGGCUAAA